rnacentral:rRNA from 1 species
UACAGAGGGGGCAAGCGUUGUUCGGAAUUACUGAGCGUAAAGGGCGCGUAGGCGGCCUUCUAAGUCGAACGUGAAAUCCCCGGGCUCAACCCGGGAACUGCGUCCGAUACUGGAGGGCUUGAAUCCGGGAGAGGGAUGUGGAAUUCCAGGUGUAGCGGUGAAAUGCGUAGAUAUCUGGAGGAACACCGGUGGCGAAGGCGACAUCCUGGACCGGUAUUGACGCUGAGGCGCGAAAGCCAGGGGAGCAAACUGG